GACGAACGCUGGCGGCGUGCCUAAUACAUGCAAGUAGAACGCUGAAGGAGGAGCUUGCUUCUCUGGAUGAGUUGCGAACGGGUGAGUAACGCGUAGGUAACCUGCCUGGUAGCGGGGGAUAACUAUUGGAAACGAUAGCUAAUACCGCAUAAUAGCAGUUAUUGCAUGAUAACUGUUUGAAAGGUGCAAUUGCACCACUACCAGAUGGACCUGCGUUGUAUUAGCUAGUUGGUGGGGUAACGGCUCACCAAGGCGACGAUACAUAGCCGACCUGAGAGGGUGAUCGGCCACACUGGGACUGAGACACGGCCCAGACUCCUACGGGAGGCAGCAGUAGGGAAUCUUCGGCAAUGGACGGAAGUCUGACCGAGCAACGCCGCGUGAGUGAAGAAGGUUUUCGGAUCGUAAAGCUCUGUUGUAAGAGGAGAACGAGUGUGAGAGUGGAAAGUUCACACUGUGACGGUAUCUUACCAGAAAGGGACGGCUAACUACGUG
rnacentral:rRNA from 1 species